GAUGAACGCUGGCGGCGUGCCUAACACAUGCAAGUCGAACGGAAAGGCCCUGCUUUUGCGGGGUGCUCGAGUGGCGAACGGGGGAGUAACACGUGAGUAGCCUGUCCUUGACUUAGGGAUAACUCCAGGGAACUGGGGCUCAUACCGGAUAGGAGCUCCUGCUCCAUGGUGGGGGUUGGAAAGUUUCGGCGGUUGUGGAUGGUCUCGCGGCUUAUCAGCUUGUUGGUGGGGUAGUGGCUUACCAAGGCUUUGACGGGUAGCCGGCCUGAGAGGGUGACCGGCCACAUUGGGACUGAGAUACGGCCCAGACUCCUACGGGAGGCAGCAGUGGGGAAUAUUGCACAAUGGGCGGAAGCCUGAUGCAGCAACGCCGCGUGCGGGAUGACGGCCUUCGGGUGGUAAACCGCUUUCGCCUGUGACGAAGCGUGAGUGACGGUAAUGGGUAAAGAAGCACCGGCUAACUACGUG
rnacentral:rRNA from 1 species